rnacentral:rRNA from 1 species
UACGUAGGCAACAAGCGUUGUUCGGAAUUACUGGGCGUAAAGAGUGUGUAGGCGGUGUUCUAAGUUUGUCGUGAAAUCUCCCGGCUUAACUGGGAGGGUGCGGCGAAAACUGGAAUGCUAGAGGAUGGGAGAGGUAAGCGGAAUUCCUGGUGUAGCGGUGAAAUGCGCAGAUAUCAGGAGGAACACCAAUGGCGAAGGCAGCACUCUGGGACGUGACUGACGCUGAGACGCGAAAGCGUGGGGAGCAAACAGG